CAGUCGCCGCGGGAAUACGGAGGGUGCAAGCGUUAAUCGGAAUUACUGGGCGUAAAGCGUGCGUAGGCGGUUCGUUAAGUCUGUUGUGAAAGCCCCGGGCUCAACCUGGGAAUGGCAAUGGACACUGGCGAGCUAGAGUGUGUCAGAGGAUGGUGGAAUUCCCGGUGUAGCGGUGAAAUGCGUAGAGAUCGGGAGGAACAUCAGUGGCGAAGGCGGCCAUCUGGGACAACACUGACGCUGAGGCACGAAAGCGUGGGGAGCAAACAGGAUUAGAUACCCCCGUAGUCCCUGUCUCUUAUAC
rnacentral:rRNA from 1 species